AGGUAUGUAGCUCAGUAGUAGAGCACUUGCCUAGCAUGUGUCAGUCCCUGGGUUCAAUCCCCAGCACAGCCC
rnacentral:tRNA from 1 species